AUUGAACGCUGGCGGCAGGCCUAACACAUGCAAGUCGAACGAGUGGCGGACGGGUGAUUAAUGUCUGGGAAACUGCCCGCUGGAGUGGGCUAACUACUGGCAACGGUAGCUAAUACCGCAUACCAUCGGAUGUGCCCAGAUGGGAUUAGCUAGUAGGUGGGGUAACGGCUCACCUAGGCGACGAUCCCUAGCUGGUCUGAGAGGAUGACCAGCCACACUGGAACUGAGACACGGUCCAGACGCCUACGGGAGGCAGCAGUGGGGAAUAUUGGACAAUGGGCGCAAGCCUGAUGCAGCCAUGCCGAGUGUAUGAAGAAGGCCUUCGGGUUGUAAAGUACUUUCAGCGAGGAGGCGUUACUCGCAGAAGAAGCACCGGCUAACUCCGUGCCAGCAGCCGCGGUAAUUC
rnacentral:rRNA from 1 species